UUCUCACUUCCCUCUCUCUCUCUUCAGCUCUCCCUCUCUCUCUCAUCCGAGCCUCUCUCUCUCCCCUUGCGUCUUCAGCUGCCGCCGCACCACUACCGAUGCUCCAAUCCACACCAAAAUUUUCAAAUUUUCUCCUUUUCAUUUCCUCUAUCUAUUUCUCAAACCAAAAUGGGGGUUUUAGUGAUUUCUUCAUUCUAAGUUCAAAUCAAGGCUAGGCUACGGGUUUGGCAAGGAUUUGGGGUAAGGAUCUAUCCGAUUUUGGGUUGUGAUGUUGAUUUUGGACGGAUCUGUAGGUCUUCGCUAAGGAGGAGGAAAGGCUGUGAGUUUUUGAAGAAGAAAGGGUUAUAACGAGGUCAUUCCGGACGAUUUGGAUUAGAAGUGGGUCGUUGGCCAAGUUCGUGUGUUGCUGUUCCUGUUGCUUGAAGUUCUUCCCUUGUGGUAUUCCAUCGUUUUACUCGUUUUUCAAUCCAUGUUGAACUCUGUGAGGUCCGCCUACCUGGGAGCGCGCCUCACCCCUUUGUUUAUUUGUUGUUGUUGAACUUUCCUUUCAUUUCGGUUAUGAUGUAAGCCCUAAGGCACCACAAUGCACUUGCCACCUUAUUUUGUUGCUUUUCCAGACUUGUUGAUUUAAAUGUUGGGUUGUUGAUUUUAAAGUCC
rnacentral:lncRNA from 1 species